rnacentral:rRNA from 1 species
UAGAGUUUGAUCCUGGCUCAGGAUGAACGCUAGCUACAGGCUUAACACAUGCAAGUCGAGGGGAAACGGCAUUGAGUGCUUGCACUCUUUGGACGUCGACCGGCGCACGGGUGAGUAACGCGUAUCCAACCUUCCCAUUACUGUGGGAUAACCUGCCGAAAGGCAGACUAAUACCGCAUAGUCUUCGAUGACGGCAUCAGAUUUGAAGUAAAGAUUUAUCGGUAAUGGAUGGGGGAUGCGUCUGAUUAGCUUGUUGGCGGGGUAACGGCCCACCAAGGCAACGAUCAGUAGGGGUUCUGAGAGGAAGGUCCCCCACAUUGGAACUGAGACACGGUCCAAACUCCUACGGGAGGCAGCAGUGAGGAAUAUUGGUCAAUGGACGGAAGUCUGAACCAGCCAAGUAGCGUGCAGGAUGACGGCCCUAUGGGUUGUAAACUGCUUUUGUAUGGGGAUAAAGUUAGGGACGUGUCCCUAUUUGCAGGUACCAUACGAAUAAGGACCGGCUAAUUCCGUGCCAGCAGCCGCGGUAAUACGGAAGGUCCAGGCGUUAUCCGGAUUUAUUGGGUUUAAAGGGAGCGUAGGCUGGAGAUUAAGUGUGUUGUGAAAUGUAGACGCUCAACGUCUGAAUUGCAGCGCAUACUGGUUUCCUUGAGUACGCACAACGUUGGCGGAAUUCGUCGUGUAGCGGUGAAAUGCUUAGAUAUGACGAAGAACUCCGAUUGCGAAGGCAGCUGACGGGAGCGCAACUGACGCUUAAGCUCGAAGGUGCGGGUAUCAAACAGGAUUAGAUACCCUGGUAGUCCGCACAGUAAA